UAUAGGAGGUCCAGCCUGCCCAGUGACUAUAAGUUUAACGGCCGCGGUAUCCUGACCGUGCAAAGGUAGCGCAAUCACUUGUCUUUUAAAUAGAGACCUGUAUGAAUGGCCAAACGAGGGCUUAACUGUCUCCCCCUUCAAGUCAGUGAAAUUGAUCUGCCCGUGCAGAGGCGGGCAUACUAAUACAAGACGAGAAGACCCUUUGGAGCUUAAGGUAUAAAACUCAGCCCACGUCAAGCAACUUAAUAAAAAACAAAAACUUUGUGGAACAUGAUAUUUUACCUUCGGUUGGGGCGACCACGGAGGAAAAAAAAGCCUCCAAGUGGAUUGGGAAAAUCCUCCUAAAUCUAAGAGAGACAUCUCUAAGCCACAGAACAUCUGACCAAACAUGAUCCGGCAACAAAGCCGAUCAACGAACCAAGUUACCCUAGGGAUAACAGCGCAAUCCUCUCCCAGAGCCCAUAUCGACGAGGGGGUUUACGACCUCGAUGUUGGAUCAGGACAUCCUAAUGGUGCAGCCGCUAUUAAGGGUUCGUUUGUUCAACGAUUAAAGUCCUACGUGA
rnacentral:rRNA from 1 species